rnacentral:rRNA from 1 species
GACGAACGCUGGCGGCGUGCCUAAUACAUGCAAGUAGAACGCUGAAGAGAGGAGCUUACUCUUCUUGGAUGAGUUGCGAACGGGUGAGUAACGCGUAGGUAACCUGCCUUGUAGCGGGGGAUAACUAUUGGAGACGAUAGCUAAUACCGCAUAACAAUGGAUGACACAUGUCAUUUAUUUGAAAGGGGCAAUUGCUCCACUACAAGAUGGACCUGCGUUGUAUUAGCUAGUAGGUGAGGUAAUGGCUCACCUAGGCGACGAUACAUAGCCGACCUGAGAGGGUGAUCGGCCACACUGGGACUGAGACACGGCCCAGACUCCUACGGGAGGCAGCAGUAGGGGAUCUUCGGCAAUGGGGGCAACCCUGACCGAGCAACGCCGCGUGAGUGAAGAAGGUUUUCGGAUCGUAAAGCUCUGUUGUAAGUCAAGAACGGGUGUGAGAGUGGAAAGUUCACACUGUGACGGUAGCUUACCAGAAAGGGACGGCUAACUACGUG